rnacentral:lncRNA from 1 species
UUUUGCUAUACCUUUUUCCUCUUCCUUUCCCAGAAAGAAGUCCUUAGACACAGACCAGAGGCUGGUGAGGACCUGCUCCAUCCAGGUUCCACAUUGAACCCUUGCUGUUUCUCAUAUGUGGGCCACUGCUGGGGCAGUGUGUGCAGUAGAGAGGGGAGAAAUGAAGGGGGCUAUGAGCCCAUCAGACUCAUACUAUAAUUUCAGAAUGAUGCAGAAUCCAGAAACAAUUCCUUUUAACCAGAUUGUCCUUGAAUAAACCCGUAUCUACCCAGGGAACUCCAGAGGUGGCCACUCUCUCUGGGCACAUCUUGAACUACAGAUUAAAAGCUACAGACAUCUGGAUUUGCCAAGUGCAUGACAAAGUCUUGCUAAGGAUGGAUUAACUGCACACAUACCACUGAGUUCUUCCUCAUACUUCGCUUCUCCACGUAUUUCUUUUAAAAUGAUGACUGCUAUGACAAUGAAGAUAGGCAAAUUAAUGAAAAAAAGCUCUAUGAAAUCAAAAAAAGUUUCAGUCAAAAUUUUAAUACCUACAGAACUGAAACACCUGUGAGCUGUUAUCUGGAAAAUAACGCAAUGAACUUAUUCAGGAAGUAGAACAAGAAAAGGAACAAAAAUAAAAAAGCUUCCUUAAACUACA